CAGUUUCCUGUGCCACCUUUUUUUUCCAUGCCGCCUCUCUUCUGCUUGAUUAAAUACCACAAGAAAGAAAAAAGAAAAUGCCUGAGAUUAAAAAAUACUGAUAAUAUUAAAAGAAUGAAAAAAAGAAAUCACCCUUUUUAAGGAAAACAAGCCAGACCUCACCUCUGAGCUAAGCCAAUGUGACCUGUCUGGCCUUUCACAUUUUAAAAAGCCCCUCUACGAGGCCACAAUUUUCUCUGAUGCCUCCCAUGGCUACAAACACACUCCACACUCAAACGCUGCUUCUGUUUUUGCUCCCAGUGUCACAGCCAGAACACCGUGCCUGUACAGAUGGCAGGUCCAAGAGAGGCGGUGUGAGCAGGUUCUGCAAUGGAUUAGAGAAGAUCUCUUCAAUCAUAUUUCCUGCUUCCUGGAGACUUGGUUCCAGAGGAGGAAACUGUUCUGAUGGUCUUUUUCCACAGAGGUCAUGAAAACUGCUGUGACAGGUUUUGGCAGCCUUGCUGGCUACAAAUUUUCUCGUAUAUCCACUGAUUCGAAUUCUUGGUGUGAAAUACUUCUAGAACUCUCCUGUCAUCAGCUGCCCUUCUUGAAGACCGUUUUUACUCCUCUGUGUAGUUUGAGAUCUGAUCUUCUUCAGUGCCUCCAGUUGCUCUGAUAAAAGCUACUGUGUCCUGCAGAUAUACAUACAGGACAGCAUAUCCAAACCCUGACUCAGCAGCACGUAACUUGAAGACAAGUCACGUACUUCACCAGGCCACUCAUGUGGGGUGGCAGGUCACAAUUUUCUCAAAGUCUGAGAUGCUUUCUGCACCCAGCCUUAUGAACCUAUGCUGUCCCCAAAGGCAGCCAGUCUGCAGAUUACACCUGGCACCCUGCAGGAUCUGGACCCACCAACAAAUGUCCCAGGACUAGCAAGCUUCUACUGAAUCUCACAGCAUGGUGGUGCUGGGCGGAUGAUAAGGGUACUAGGUCCCUGGGCAUCACACCUUACAUGCCUUGAAGUUUUUACAAGAAGCAGAGAGACACCAGAUUUUCCCUCUGAAAGUACCUGCAAGUAACUUCAGAGCUCUUUGACCGUACGCUUCUGACCAAUAUAUUCUUUGACCUAGGAGCAGCCUCAGGGCCACUUUGUCCCAAAAACAUAGGAAGGGUCCAUUUGUACAUGAUUGCUCACAAAUACCCAAGUACUUGCUUCCAUGUCUUCCUGAUUGUAAGCCUGUGGUCCCCAAUCAAUCAUCAAAAAAAAUCAUCCCUUGAAGUUUACUUAGGUAUGUUAGCACUAUAUGUGCUCUUGAUGCCUCUUCUAGCACUUCAAUUCUAUGAUUUUGUGUAGGAGAAAUGAAUAAAAAGCCAGUAGGUGUUUGGAAAAAUAUUUUGUUUCCCACUGAAGUAGGCAACAGUUAUAAAUAUCCUCCAGACAGACUCCACCACCACAGUGAUGGCAACUAUAGGAUGACAGCAGAAGAUAUCUCCAUAGGAGAAGAUGAGUCAGGUUGCUUCUGUGAAAACAAAUUUACUUAUAAGCUCAAUUUCAACAGCCACUGACUUAUAUGACAGGGGAAAACCCAACUUCUUUCCCACUGAAAUAAAUUACUUUUAUGUUGCUAGUGCUACAACAUCACAACUUGAAAGCUAUCUCCAUUAUUCCAACAACUGAUUGAUUUCCUCCUAACUGUGCAGGUGUGACUCUGCAUUCAUUUUGGAGCAAAUUACACAAAAAAAAUACAGUAACAGUUGUAAGAGAAGCCUAGAUUACUGUUUUAAACUGUUUUUCUCUUUUCUUCUUUCUUCUAUCUAAUCCAAAGGGUACAUGAGUGCAGAGUUCAAGUUCACAAUAGGAAGGAAAAAAGACUAAUGUCAAGAAAAUAA